rnacentral:tRNA from 1 species
GCGUCUCGGUAGCUCAGCUGGAUACAGCAUUCAGACUGCGAAUCGGAGGGGCGGACGUUCGAAUCGUUCCGGGCGCGCCG